ACUCGAGUGGCGAACGGGCGAGUAACACGUGGGUGAUCUGCCCUGCACUUCGGGAUAAGCCUGGGAAACUGGGUCUAAUACCGGAUAGGAGCCAUUUUUAGUGUGAUGGUUGGAAAGUUUUUCGGUGUAGGAUGAGCUCGCGGCCUAUCAGCUUGUUGGUGGGGUAAUGGCCUACCAAGGCGGCGACGGGUAGCCGGCCUGAGAGGGUGGACGGCCACAUUGGGACUGAGAUACGGCCCAG
rnacentral:rRNA from 1 species